GGAAUGUUCUAGACUCGUAGUAUUGAACAGAGGGAAUGUUCUAGACUCGUAGUAUUGAACAGAGGGAAUGUUCUAGACUCGUAGUAUUGAACAGAGGGAAUGUUCUAGACUCGUAGUAUUGAACAGAGGGAAUAUUCUAAACUCGUAGUAUUGAACAGAGGGAAUGUUCUAGACUUAUGGUAUUGAACAGAGGGAAUGUUCUAGACUUAUGGUAUUGAACAUAGGGAAUGUUCUAGACAUGGUAUUGAACAGGGAAUGUUCUAGACUCGUAGUAUUGAACAGAGGGAAUGUUCUAGACCCGUGGUAUUGAACAGCAUAUGGAACAAUGUAAGUGUCCAUUAUUGGCAUUUUGAGUGUUUUAUUUGUUUAUGGCCGCCCAUGGUAGGUGUAGACGCCCAUGGUAGUGACAUGGUAGGUGUAGACGCCCAUGGUAGUGACAUGGUAGGUGUAGACGCCCAUGGUUCUAACAUAUGGUAGGUGUAGACGCCCAUGGUACUAACAUAUGGUAGGUGUAGACGCCCAUGGUAUUCAAGUAUAGAAGAUUCUAGACGCCUAAUGUAUUAAUAAAUAACAUUGAGGCAGAAACGGUUUACAAGCGAAACCUGUAACUUCCAACCUUUGUCUCUGGUCUUGUGUUAAACAGUACUGUACAAGACAAAAAAAUAGUUACUCCCAAGCAUCUGGCACCAAUUGGAAAGUUAGAUUAGUUAAUAACGUUUGACAAUAGUCAGGGGAGGGGGAACAAAUCUGACAGCUGAUCAAAUAGUGUAAUAUUGAGUUGAUCAUUUUAUUUGUUUUAUUUUGGGUGUUUGAAGUCGGAUCGAUUUUAGGGACCCAAGAUAGAUUUAUGAUAUCGAGGUAAAAUAAUUUGUAUUACUGUUCCUACACUUUCAGAAUGAAGCUUAGAAGUAAAUAACCUAUUUGUCUUAUAAAGCUCCCAUUUUGUCUGUUUUAUGCAUUGUUUUCUGAAGUUUUUAAUUUUAGUUCAACAGCCCUCUUGAGUGACCUGAGAAAGUGAUGUUAUAACUUUGACCAAAUGGUUACGCUGUAUGACACAGUACCUCGCCUAUUAUCAAGCUUUUGUUGACUUUACAGAUGUGAAAUACGUAGAUGAAAGCGUUUGGGGGUUGGUUGAGAAGGAAGUGGUCAGAUUAAACUUCAGUAUUUUCUUUUCAGGUUUUUUUAAUUUUGUAUUAAUUUUAUCUUUUAGUUUGAAGUGUGAGCAAUGUGUAGGACGGGUUUAGUGUCCAAAAUUAAUUCUACAUUGCUGUAGGAUCUUGAAUUUCAGGCUCUAUAAGGCGACCAGUUUGCAGUUAUAUUUUGGGCAAUAACCUUGAGUGAUUAUCGAAAGGUACAUCAGUCAAAGUAAGAGUCAUUUAAUUUCAUAAUAAACUGAAGAAUUUAUUUACAGGUCUACUUAUAUAAUUAUAAUGCAAGUACAAAUUGAUCACAGUACGAUGUGAUACUUGCCACCGAAGCAGUUGCCUAGCCUAUGGCGUGUCUAAGCGGGAAAGAAGACGAGAGUUUCAUCAGUCACUAUAACUCACUUUAUUUGUAUUUUAGUAUCUUUUGUCACAGGUAUCAGGUCAUAGCAGACUCUUAGCCUCAAGGGGUUCAUUUACUAGAGGAAUGAUCCAUUGAGGGAGAACGAGUGGUGUGGGCGAGAAUAGCUUUGAGAGGGCACUCAAAAGGGCUUUGGCCCUGAUCGUGAUGGACAGAUGGGGGUUGUGGACCAGUUCGUGAUGUGCCUAGUUGAAAGCUCUCUGGUACCCAGCACACAACUUUUUAAGACGACCCAACAAGUGGUCCCACCGAUCAUAGACUCCUAAAAGGAUUGAGUGACUAGUUCUUGAGUGGUACCGUAAUGUUCACUCUAGGCUUGUUCUCGCCACCUGGAUCCAUGUUCGAGCCUACAGACCAAAAGUGUAUAGUGUGUGUUUGAGUGUUAAGUAUUUUGUAGUUUUAUUAUUUUGUAACUGUAAAACUUAACAUAGUAUCAUGUUUACUAAAUCACUUAAGUCACUAUCUACAGUACAAGAAUAAAAUUUGCAAGAGUAAUGUUUUCAUCGUUUGGGAAAUAUGAUCACCACAUAAAGAUGCAAUUAACAGCUCAAGUUGGUAAAAUUGCCUUCAUUUCAAUUGUUAAAAUUUUGAAUUGAUUCAUGAAAGUUUAAAAUGGAUUGGCAUAGUCGAAUGGUGUUCUCGUGUGGCCGCCCAGAAAGUGUUGAUAUUUUUUUUCACCUUAAGCGUGACAAAGUUUGUCGGCUGUUUACUUGUACCACCUAAGCUUGAUAAUAAUUGUCUGGUGCUGAAUAUGCAGGUCAACAGGUAUAUAACUAUAUCUGAUGUGCAGUAAUUUGAAGACAAAAGUGAUGCCAUGUUAGGUAAGCGUGCCAUACUGUAUACAAUUGUCCUCCAUUUAUUAACCUCAUAAUUCCUUGAGGGAAUUUGGUAAUGUGUGUGUGUGUUUGUGUACGCCAUGACUUGUAGUUGUUGGUUACUGAGAGGAGGUCCCCCCACCGCGAGGGUUUCCCUGUCAGUGCAGCGACUCGUGAGAAAUAAAAGCCUAAUUUUUUAA